UACGGAGGAUCCAAGCGUUAUCCGGAUUUAUUGGGUUUAAAGGGUGCGUAGGUGGUUUUUUAAGUCAGGGGUGAAAGACGGCAGCUUAACUGUCGCAGUGCCUUUGAUACUGAAGAACUUGAAUGAACUAGAGGUAGGCGGAAUGUGACAAGUAGCGGUGAAAUGCAUAGAUAUGUCACAGAACACCAAUUGCGAAGGCAGCUUACUAUGGUUUUAUUGACACUGAGGCACGAAAGCGUGGGGAUCAAACAGG
rnacentral:rRNA from 1 species